GUUAGUAUAAAUACAGUGUUUCAGAACAUCAGUACGUCCAGGUUGUACAACACACACUUGGGUAUUGGUCUCUAAGAUGGUCUUUAAUUUUUUUUUGUCAAGGGGAGAUAGAUGUGCUUCACUUACUGCUGUGUCGAUUAGCGUUUGUACAUUUGCUUCAACAGAUGCCGCUAUGAAUGCAGGUUGGGGUGGAGGAAUAGAACUUAAUAGUGAGAGGGAUGGGUUAAGUGUCCUCGGAGGCUGCUCUGGUUGCUGGCCUGAAGGGCUAGGUAUGCAGUAAGGAACUUCAGGUACACUGGCAUUACCAGGUUGAAAAGGAUACUCCUCUUGUGGAGUAAUCUUGAAUGAAUAUUUUCUAUCAAUGACAUUUAUUUGUAAGCCACUGAAGUAAAUGAAAUCCAACCCGAGAAUCACAGCGUAUGCAAGUGCUUGGGGGGACAGGAUAGCAACAGGUAGAGUAAAAGUUUGGUCAUGCAUAUUGAUUUGCAAUUGAACCCAUCCUAAUGGGACUUCUGCUUCACCAUUUGCUAGGUACAGUGGACCAAGUGACCAAGGCUUGAGUUCUCCUGGCAAGAAGAGCUUUCUCCACAAGCUUUCGUGGAUCAUGGUAUAGCUUGCACCUGUAUCUAGAAUGGCCUUUCCAAGCACUUGCAUACGCUGUGAUUCUCGGGUUGGAUUUCAUUUACUGUUUCCAAAAGGUCCCUGUUCGGGCGCCACUUCUGUAACGGUGGCACGCCCCAGUGACCUUUUGGAAACAGUAUCUAUUUCAUAGUUCGGGCGCCAGACAGGAUUUUGGCCUGUCACCAAUUAAAUAUCAAAAUCCCGUGAUAACCCAGGGAGAUUUUUUAAAAUACCACAGUUACUCAAACUACAUGGGUUGCUUGUACAGUAGUUAAUAGAAGACAAACAACAACAACUUGCAGUUCAAAAGAAUUCAUUGUUAUAUAUUUGUCCCUUCUUUAUACACAAUUCUGGACACAAAUCAAAAACCCCAUACAAUCAGGAGGAAAGGAACAAAAACAAAAACGAACAAUAAUAAACAAAAAAAAAAUAAAAAUAAUAAUGAUAAUGUAUAGAAAAACAACAAUUGUAAACGACAAGGUUUUUCAUACAGGCAUAAUUAAAUGAACUUAGACAUCCCAGUAAACAAGAUCAGCAGAUCGAGGCUUUCUCCUCCAAACAAAAACACUCAUCAGCGGUCCAGCGAGAAAAAAAAACAAAAACAAAAAAACACAGGAUUAGUAUAUAUUUUUUUCUCUUGAACCACCAAAGUCAUAGAUAUACUGAAAGGGAAAUUAAAUGAAAGUCAGUAAUAUAAAUACGUCGGUCACUCAAAGCGACCCGCGAAUGGGUGGAGGAAGUGCGUGCGAUGAAGUGCGUUAGUGUGUGUGUGCGUGUGUGUGCAAUAUCGCUGACCAUGUCUGGCAGGGAAAAGAUCCUUGGGAGGCAGCGUUUUCUCCGGAUUAGCAAAACCCAACGGAAUGGCGAUCUUGUGAGUUCCUUCAGCAGUUCGUUACACUCUUUGCAGCCUGGUGAAUCUUUAUUUCCGCACUCUCACUGACCCAAUACAGCGUGCGUCUCACUCCCGCCGAUCAACUCCUUUGUUUGGUUUGCUCACCUGCCACUUGGCGUUCGCGUUUACCAUUUCCCCCCCUUUUUCCAAGCGAUUUUUCCUUUUUAUAAUUUUGCCUUAAUUGUUCCACAUCCCGAUAUGGGCACGGAAGGGGCGGAUUUUCUUUACAUCGCCACACUCCCCCCCGCUGGGACAAACAACCCAUGGUUGGCAAAACAACUAAUAUUUGGGUUUCUCUUAGAAGCCCAAAAACUCCUCAUCUUCAUCAGAGGACUGUUCGAAAAUCUUAACGAGUUUUCUUUUUUCAAUUAGCUCUAACUCUUCCAUAGUUGGGUAGCACGGUUUCAAAUUACAAACGUGCGCUGUUCUGACAUCCUCUCCAGUUGUUUCCAGCGCGAUCUGGUAGUUCAGCGGUCCCAAUUUUCUCAGCACUCGGUAAGGACCUUUCCACUUGGGGGCUAGUUUUGCACUGAAAUGUUGUUGUGCCUUGGACUGUGGAAAAUUCCGUAACCAGAUCCUGUCCUUUUCUUUAAAGAACACGUCUCGUCUGUUUUUGUUGUAACUUCUCAGCUGUCGUUUUUUGGCUUUUUUACAGCAUUCUUCAGCUUGUGAUUUUAACUGGGCUAGUUGAUUUACCACAUCAUAGGAUGGAUUUGAUGGUGAGAGAUUUUUACCUUGAAGUAUCUUGUCCAUUGGGCCUUGUAAUUUUCUUCCUAGCUGGAGCUCCGCAGGGGACAUGCCAGUGCUUUCUUGAACGGCUGAGUUAAGAGCAAAACGAAGCUCAGGUAAAUACUGAUCCCAUUUUUUAUGGUUUUCAUCCACAUAGGAGGCAAUCAUGCAUUUCAAAGUGCGGUUAACUCUCUCCGUCAUAUUGGUUUGUGGGUGAUAGGCAGUUGUUAAUUUGGGGGUAACACUCCAUUUCUCACACAGUUCUUUGAAUAUGGAAGAGACAAACUGAGUUCCCCGGUCAGACAAGAUGAAGUCCGGUACUCCAUAUCGGGUGAGGAUUUCCGUUCGGAGAAUCGUUGCUAUGGUGCUCGCAAUUGCAGUGCGCAUUGGAAAGAGCUCAACCCAUCGAGAGAAAUAAUCCACAAAAACUAGAAGGUAUUCAUGUCUGCGAGUACUACUUGGCAAAGGUCCCAUUAUGUCCACUCCUACCAUCUUGUUGGGUUGCGACACUGUAAUUGGUUGUAGUUUGCCAGCUGGUUUCUGAUUUUCAUAUUUAAGCUUUUGACAUUUUUCACAACACUUGACAUGGUGUUUUACAUCGGUCCACAUUCCAGGCCAAAAAACAACAUGAUGCAAUCGUUUGUAGGUCUUGAAUAUGCCACCAUGACCGCUUAGAGGAUUGGAGUGGUAGUAUUGAAGGACAGAUGGAAUGAGACUGCGAGGGAGGUACACCCUGUAGUGGACUUGGUCCUUUGUUAGAUGGUUGCAGCAGUGACUGGCAAUUCAUCAGUGUCCGUCUGGCUGGAGUAUAGGUUACAUCCUGAUAUGCUGGGAACUCUAGAAAGAGCAUCAGGUGCCACAUUAAGUUUUCCUUUCCUGUAUUCAAUGAUGAAAUCAAACUUUUGCAACCUUAAGGCCCAUCUGACGAGGCGACUGGUGGACUUUGGGGAGCUCAUAACCCACUGGAGAGCCAUGUGGUCUGUAACUACGGUGAACAUGCGAUACUCCAAGUAAUGCUGCCACUUUUCAAGUGCCCAUAUGACUGCAAGACACUCUUUCUCUGUUGCGGUGUAAUUUCUUUCAGCCUUAUUCAGUGCUCUGCUUGCAUAAGCAAUAACUACUUCCAUUCCCUGGUCCUUCCUUUGUGUUAGCACAGCUCCAAGACCUGUGUCGCUGGCAUCAGUGUGCACCAUGAAGGGUAACUGGAGGUUUGGAUGGCUCAGGAUGGGAGGUGAAGUAAGCGCAUUUAUGGGUUCAGCAAUUUGAGAAAAAUUAGGAACAAAGCGGUGGUACCAACCGGCUAGUCCCAGGAAGCGCUGGACCUCUUUGAUGUCUCGUGGCACAGGGUUGAUAGUCAGUCCAGCCUCCUGAAGCUUAAGAAGGACUGAUUGGAGAUCGUUGAAGUGCUGAGCCACUGAUGGUGAAUAGAUGAUAAUAUCGUCAAUGUAGACAAAGCAUAUUUUUCCUCUCAAUUUUCCCAGUACAGUCUCCAUUAGCCUCUGGAAUGUGGCG